GAUGAACGCUAGCGGGAGGCCUAACACAUGCAAGCCGAGCGGUAUAAGAUCUUCGGAUCUUAGAGAGCGGCGUACGGGUGCGGAACACGUGUGCAACCUGCCUUUAUCAGGGGGAUAGCCUUUCGAAAGGAAGAUUAAUACCCCAUAAUAUAAUGAGUGGCAUCACUUAUUAUUGAAAACUCCGGUGGAUAGAGAUGGGC
rnacentral:rRNA from 1 species